rnacentral:lncRNA from 1 species
UUGACUAAUCGUAAUUCAACACCUGUCCCUUAUUAUUGAAGAAAAGAGAAGAACAUUAUUGAAUUUGAGCACGCACAUCUAUGGUUAGGCCGCCAAGAAUUACAGCAACAUAAAAGGCAAAAAUACAGCAGGACGACAUUGAAGCAGAUCAAUCAAAAUUUUUUCAUACCUACAUUCAUAUGUAAACCCUUAUGUUCCAUUUUGCGAAUUGAAUGCACUCCAAAUCCUAGAAAGUAAGAGGCUUUGAUGAUGGGAACUAGCUGGGCUGGUUGCCUUGUGAUGGCUGCCGACCAAUGUCAUGUGUUAGAUUCAACAGGUUCUAUGUUGUAGGGUGGUCGGUCCCAUUGCUUCAAUAAUAGAGGAGGUACUGUAAGAAAAAAAGAAGAAGGUAGCCACAAAUUUAUAAGAACCACAUAUUGGAACAAAUACAUAAAACAUGUGAAAUUGACAUACAAAAGACUCAUUCAGGAACCCCCCGUGGAUCACAGGGGCUACAACCAAGCUAAUUUAGACUCUCUGAAAAUUCACGGUAACGAAAUGACAUACGCAUUUCUUUCGACAGUCAUCUCGAGCUGCAAUAAUCAAGUUGACCAACGUAAUUGAAAUUCCUCCGGGAAAUCCAAUAUGGCACACGCUAUCUCUUGUCAAAUCUCAUUGAUGAUGUGCUAUUCUU